CGCAAGUUGUUUCUUUCAUCUUAUUAUGAACAUACAAGGAAAUGAUUAUUCCCUCAAAAUAUUAUAAUGAAUUUGAUAGGAAUUAGAUAGUUAAAUACUAUAAGGGGUAAAACAGGAAAUUCAUCUAGGUUUGAUACUCCGUAUCGGCUCUAGCUUUGGCUAUGGGAGAGGGGUUUCCCCUGGAACAAUUUCAGAUUGUGUAAUCGUUCAACAUAUCAGUUCUAUUUCAUCAUCAUCUUCUUUCUUUCAAUCUUUCUCUGUUUGAUCCUAUUUCAUCAAACCCUAAUUUCUAUUCUUCAUCAGAAUUGUUGCACUAAGCACUACCGCCUCUUGAGCAAAUUUUUGUCUUUGUUGAUGUGUAUUGUUGUGGGUUAUGGUAGAGCAUAUUUCUCAAAAACCUCUGCUCAUACUUGCACAGGGGAUGGGAAUGCUAUGUGUGCAGGCGUUCCUCUGGAGGAUCUUGAGUUUGUGCCUCAUUACUGAAGGAUCUCGUGGUGAAGGGGGUAUUUUAAGGAAUAGUGAAGGUGAGAGAUUUAUGGAACGUUAUGCUCCAACUGCAAAGGAUCUUGCAUCAAGGGAUGUUGUUUCAACUGCAAAGUUUAAUGCUUUUGCCGAAAAGUGAUGAUGAGAAAUGGAUGAAACACACGUUUGGAUAUGGGGAGAACGAGAAGGUACGACUAGACUACAUGUGAGUUCACAUGAACACUCUUGAUGAUGAGGUGGAGACUUUCCCACACAAGGCUGAGCGUAUAUUAAUAACAUCCUCUCACAAGGAUCAAACCUACUGUUUUCCUAGAAAGGUUACCAUUAUCAAGCCAAAGUUACAAAGUUAAGGAUCAUUUCAUAUCAUAUGUGUGUGUUGAUUGCUACCCUUCAUUGUAUUGUGAAAAUGAUUCUGGUAAUAAUUACAUCUUAUAUGCUUUUGGUACGUCAUAUGCGAUAUGAUUGGUGAUUUAUCA